AGUAUACAUGCCCGAAUUAUAAUUAACUUUCAUUCGAGCACUGCCUUCCCAAAAUGCUCGGUUCGAUCCCCACGGAACUUCAAGAAACAAUUCCGGACUCCAGUUCUCGGCGUGUGUUUCGUCAGAGACAGCAGUAACCAGCAGGCGAAAGAUUCCACCUCUACCGUCUAGCUGCCUUUCUGCUUCUCGCUGCCUGCGCAAGCAGCGUGGAUUGACACGGUGAACUAGUGAACCAGUGGAUUGACAGAACACACAGGGUGGAGAAGACAUCCUCUGCCCAAUAGGGAACUGCACUGCUCCUGGGCCAACACAUGGGACAUAUGGUCAUUGCAACCUGGGGGCUUCAGCAUGGCGAGCACAACUAGUCUCUUUCGGAUAGCCGGUAGAUUUUCUGAAAACAACAGACAUUCUCUGAUGGAAGCCGAGUACUAACUGCAUGCUAAGAAAUAGGACAAAGGUCUUUUUUUUCAUAGAUAUGUUAAUAUCUGACAAACACUGGGUUGCGUACUGCGUUCUGUAAGUCUUAAAAUUUAGCAUUUUGCAAAUUUAAACAAAUUAUAUGUUAAAAAUUCGGAAGGUAAGCAAAUGUACUUGG